UCAACCUGAAGGAAAAGUAGUUCCAUGAAA
rnacentral:piRNA from 1 species